rnacentral:tRNA from 1 species
GCCUGGGUGGCUCAGUCGGUUGAGCGUCUGACUUCGGCUCAGGUCAUGAUCUCGUGGUUCGUGAGUUCAAGCCCCGCAUCGGGCC